UUUUCACUUUUAUUAUUUGAAUUUGUAGGUUUCCAGUCCCAAUCAGAGAUUCCGACCUUGCUUGCUUAGUUGCUUUCAAUGCUUUGCCUUUGAUUCUUUGAGUAAUGAUUUCCGAUUUCUCAUUUUUGGUUUCAUAAUUAGUUGCAUCGUUCCAGACUUCACCAUGGUAUUCAAUAGAUUAAACUUAUUAAAGCUAAUUUCAAGCUUUUGUGAAUCAAUAAAUGGGAUUGGAAGUUUUCUAGGCAGUGCGAUUUUAAUUUGUAUUUCAUGAUAUUUUGACAAUCUAAUAUCUCUAGUGAGUAUGUGUUAGCUUAUGCGAAAUGUCUUAUUCACAGUGUACAAUCAACUCGCCUUAUAGCAUGCUCCAAAUUUAAUUGAAGUUGUGUGUACUUCUCUUGAUUUGUUCCCGAAGUUAGAUUAUUAGUUAUAGUUCAUUUUCAAAAAGUAGGUGGUACAAUGUGCUAAUUUGGGUUUGUCAGUAACUUAUUAAUGUUUUGGAAAUGGGAUUCUAAUUUUGGUGAUAUGUUGAUUCUAUUGCCAUUGAUUCACACAGAAAGCAUUUACUGAUUUACAAGUGAUUGGGACAAGGAUUUGAAAAACUUAUGAGCAAUUUGUGAUUUUAAUUCUUUGCAACAGCCAACAGCAGCAUUGUCUACUUCAAUCACCACCGCGACCACCAAUUUCUGAAUCAUUUCAUUUUGGGACUCAUCAUUCAGGUUUUAUCGCUCUUUACUUGUUAUUAUGUCUACGAGAAAAUUUGAAUUUGGAUGUGCCAAAAGAAAAAGGAAGGAAAAGAUUGAAAAGUUGAUUAAAUCUCAAGAGAGAGCACUUGAUAAGUUUUUUGGUAGUAGUAAAUGAACACACAACGAUGACAUAGCUACUGAAGAAGUGUUAAAUGAGAAUGACAACAAUAAUAAUAUAAUUGAAGAAGGACAUUGUGUGAUGAAUGAAGAGAUAUCUACUGACAAAGAUAAUGAACCAUUUUCUGUUGACCUUGUUGAUCCAGCAAAUUGGGGAAAUAUGAAUACGAAUUUAAUAGAUUUAAUUGUAAUGAAAGGUCCUGUAAGAGAAAAUGAUAUGAUUUUUUCAAAAGAUGGAGCAAAUCGACACUUCUCAUCCACACAUUACGUUCGACGAUUACCUAAUGGAGAGAAGUAUGAUAGAAAAUGGUUGAUAUAUUCAAAAAGUUUGGAUUAAGUAUUUUGCUUUUGUUGUAAGUUAUUUAAGAAUGAUGGGAUCAGAACCCAAUUGGCACAUGAUGAAGUAAAUGACUGGAAAAAUAUUGGUAAAAACUUAAAAUGCAUGAACCAAGUUGUGACCACAUCAAUAACAUGAGUAAAUGGAUAGAAAUGGAAUUAAGAUUUGAAAAGAGUACAACAAUUGACAAAAGUGUGCAAGAACAAAUCAAUAGAGAUAGAGAACACUGGAGACAAGUAUUAUUGAGAAUAAUAUCUGUGGUGGAAACUCUUGCUGAGAAUAAUUUAGCAUUUCGUGGGGACAAUGAGAAGAUAUAUCAAGAAAAUAAUGGUAUCUUUUUAAGCAUGAUUCAAAUGAUUGUUGAGUUCGACCUCGUAAUGUAAGAGCAUGUUCGUCGAAUAAAAAAUAAAGAUAUUCAUUAUCAUUAUAUAGGACACAAAAUUCAUAAUGAGUUGAUACUUAUGCUAGCGGCGAGAUAAAAAUAAUAAUCAUUGAGAAACUCAAAAUUUAUAAAUACUUUUCUGUUAUACUUGAUUGCACUCCAGAUACAAGUCACGAAGAACAAAUGUCAAUGAUAUUGAGGUGUGUAGAUAUUUCGACAAGUCCAGUGAAGAUUGAAGAAUUCUUUUUAGGAUUUUUAUUAGUGGAUGAUACAUCAGGUAAGGGACUUUUUGAGGAAUUGGUGGAUGCUUUGAAUAAUCUAAAACUUGAUAUUGAUAAUGUAAGGGAUCAAGGCUAUGAUAAUAGUGCUAACAUGAAAGGACAACAUAAAGGAGUUCAAAGUAGACUAUUACAACUAAAUCCUAGAGCAUUCUACAUUCCUUGUGGAUGUCAUAGUCUUACAACUAAAUCCUAGAGCAUUCUACAUUCCUUGUGGAUGUCAUAGUCUUAAUCUUGCACUUUGUGAUAUGGUCAUUUGUUGUUCAAAAGCUAAAUCUUUCUUUGGGGUGGUGCAACGUAUAUAUACUUUAUUUUCUUCAUCUACUAAACGAUGGAAAGUUUUCAAAGAGAAUGUAACUAGUCUUACCCUUAAGCCCUUGUCACAAACUCGUUGGGAAAGUCAUAUUGAAAGUGUUAGAGCGAUAAGAUUUCAAGCUCCGCAGAUAAAAAAAAAAGUAUUACUUCAAUUAGCAAAUGUUGAUGAUCCUAAGAGGCGGAGUGUUUGACAACAUAUGAAAUUGACAAUUUUGAAUUUUUACUUGGAAUGAUUAUUUGGUAUGAAGUGUUGAAUAAUGUUAACAGAGUUACAAGCAGAAGACAUACAUAUUGAUGUUGCUAUAGACCAUUUAAAAGGCAUCAUUUCAUUUUUCAAGAGUUAUAGAGAAUCUGAUUUUGAAUUGGCAAUGGUUGAUGCUAAAGAGAUUGCAAGUAAAUUAGAAAUUGAACUGAUAUUUCGUGAAAAAUGGGUUAUACAUAGAAAAAACAGUUUGAUAAGACUUCUUCUGAAGAGAUAACACAAACAACUGAAAAAUCUUUUAAGAUCAAUCAUUUCAUAUAUAUAGUGGAUCAAGCUCUAUCAUCACUUCAGAAUAGAUUUGAGCAAUUUCAGAAAUAUUAUAAUAUUUUUGGAUUUUUGUUUGAUUUGAAAAGAUUUAAAUCUAUUGAUGAUGGUGUUUUGAAGUAUUCUUGCAUUAAACUUGAAAAUUACUUGAAGCAUAAUACGAUUUCUGAUAUUGAUGGAAUAGAACUAUUUUCUGAAUUGAAAGUUUUAAGGGAAGUGAUAUCUGCAAACAUUUUUGGAGCAAUUGAUGCAUUGGAUUACAUUAAGAAAAUGAACUGUUGUUAUGCAAAUGCCUGGAUUGCUUAUAGAGUAUUAUUGACUAUUCCUGUCACAUUUGCCUCUGUCAAAAGAAGUUUUUCAAAGUUGAAGUUGAUUAAGUCUUAUCUUCGAGCAUUCAUGUCAUAAGAGUAAUUGAAUGGAUUAGCUAUGAUUUCUAUUGAAAAAAAUAUGUUGGACAAACUUGAUAUUAGCAGUUUGAUUACUAAUUUUACAUCUCCAAAUGUGAGAAGGUUAAAUCUUAUGCUAGCCUAAUCUUUCGAGUUGUGAAAGAAGUUUUAUUUUGUUAUUCUAUCUUUUGAAUUGUAUAAAGUUUUCUUUCUAAUAUAAAAAUGUUAAUUAUUUAAAUAUUUACAUAUUGUUAGAUUUGUAAAAUAAAUUUUGUACUGAGGGGUCCCAUAAUAAUUAUACGCCUAGGGCCGCUAAAUUUUCAAGGCCGGCCCUGCUGUACAUAUAGUGUGUUUCUAGUCAAGCUCCCUGUCUAAACAUAAAAUGAAUAAAUUUUACAUGCAACUAUCAACGUCAAUUAAGCAUUUUGCAUCCUUGUCAGUCGAACAAUUUAUAAGUACCAAAAAGUUGUCUUUAUCGAGACUGGUGAUCAAAUAUUUGGGAAAAUUUCAAUAUUAGUCCUCUAUCCAUCGUAGCAGUAAUAAGUUAAUCUCAAACUUUUUAUUAAAGCUGUACAAUCAUUCUCCUCAUAUAGAAAUGGUCUGAAUCCUCACUAAUUUGUCUCAUGCUUGCACAUACACCAUAUUAAGUUUAUAGAAUUAAAAUUUUCUUUCUAACUUUGGGGUGUGUCGAAAAUUUGAAGUGGAACAUGUUUUUAUUAGAGUCAAAUUAAUGAAGAAUUAGAAAUAUUUUGUUAUUGAGAACAGAUUGCAUGUGACAAUUUGGCAAAGAAUUGAAUGUUUUCUUGUCAUCGAGUAUUUAUUUUGCGUAUUUGAUUUUUAGUUAGAAAGGAAGAUUGAAUCAAAGUUGAAUAAGGAAAGAAAAUCAUCUCUCAGUCGAAAUUCUAUGUCCAAUUGUAACCUAACUUUAACAGAUUUCUUACCUUUUAUGAUUCUUUUAGGAUUUGGAACAUGGCCUAUAAAUACAAGGCUCCUCUGUCAGUUUUGUUUAAGCAUUAUUGUCGUGUCUAUAAUUUCUCACCAUAUUGUUAGUUAACAUAUGUAGUUCCUAUUCGAUUAACUCUCUUUGUGUCUUUUUUACUUUUAAUCUUGUUUCUUGUUGUAAUUUUUAUUAUUUCAUAUUGUGUCAUUAAUCUCAUUCAUUACAAUUCAUCCAUGUCCAAAGAGUGGUAUGAGAACUUGAUUCUUCUUCUGUGGAUUGGUUGAUUUUUUUUCAGAUAUGACUACCAUGAAGUAUGACAUUUCGUUGCUAGAUCACAAUACAAUGUUUUCUUUGUGGCAAGUAAAGAUGAGGGCUAUUCUGGCGCAGUUAGAUUUGGAGGAUGCGUUGCUGGGUUUUGAGAAGAUGCCAGCUGAUUGGACAAUAGAAAAGAAACAACGAAGGGAUCAGAAGGCUUUAUCGCAGAUCCAUCUUCAUUUAUCCAACAAUAUUCUACAGAAUGUCUUGAAGGAGAAAACAUCGACUACUUUGUGAUUGAAACUGAAGCAGUUAUGCAUGACUAAAAGUUUCACGAACAAACUGGCUCUAAAGUAGAAGUUGUAUUAUCAUCGCUUGGCGAAAUGAGGGUCACUGGAGGAUCAUAUUGCCGUGUUUAAGGAAAUAGUUGUAGAUCUUGAGACAUUAGACAUUGGAAGUUAAGCACGAUGAAGAGGAUUUGACCUUGAUCCUGUUGUGUUCGCCGCCUGGUUCUUAUGCGUCAUUUUGGGACACCAUUUUGUAUAGUCGGGAUAUUUUUACUAUAGACAACGUCCACGAUGUUUUGCACUCAAAGGGAAGUUGAAGCAUUUGGUUGGAGUAUCAACGUAUGAGGAGGUUCAUGUAUCUCAUGGUGGUUGACGGAGGGACAGAUCGAAAAAUAACAGCAAUUUGUAUUGUUUCUACUGCAAAUGUAAGGAACAUAUUCGGAAGGAUUAAGAGAAGUUGCAAGCUAAAGGUGAUUUAACUGCAAAUCAUGGAGCGCAACCUUUGACUUCAGAUGAAACAAAUGUAGUUGAAGAUUUUUUAGACGGCGGAGAUGUGAUGUUGAUCGUGGUAUCUAGUGUGAAAUCUAGGCCUGGCGAGGAGUGGAUUCUUGACUCGGCAUGUUCGCAUCAUAUAUGUUUCAAUCGGAAUCUCUUUCAGACAUAUGAGAUUGUUCAGUGAGGUAGAGUUGUAAUACGAAAUAACCAGUUUUGCUCUAUUAUUGGGAUCGGUCGAGUAAGAUUUAGGCUGGGGGAUGGGACAAUUAGAACAAUUGAUCAGAUUCGACAAGUUUCAGACCUGAAAAGGAAUCUCAUCUCGUUUAGUACUCUAGAUGCAAAAGGAUAUAAAUUCUCAAGUGUAAAUGGAGUCUUGAAGAUCCGAAAGGGUGUCCGGAUUGUAUUGGAGGGAUGGAGAAUGUCUCAGUUGUACAUCUUGCAGGAGAGCGCAGAACCAAUUAAGAAACAUAUAGAUAAGUUCAGUAUCGUGGUGGAUAUUCAGUUUGGUACAGUACCUCUUAUGACGGGCUCUGGCUUGGUUCAAAACAUUGUUCGAAAGAGCGUUGAUGAUUCUGCUUUGCCACCAAUUUCAGCGGUUACACUGUGUUUAGUUGCUAGGGUUAGAUCUAUUGAGCGUAGGUACUGUUAGGGAUGGCAAUCAGCUUGGCCCUUUAACCCACGAGCUCGUGAGCUCACGAGCCAUAAGCACACAGGCCGAGCCGACGAACCGCUCGCGAGCUCAAGAUUUAAAAAAAAUUAAUUUUUUUGGGGGUAAAUUUGCACAUUUUUUGACCUUUUUUUUAAAAAAAAAAAAUUUGCAUAUUUUUUGACGAGCUCACGAGCCUCGUAAAAAAUGACUCGUGGACACAUGGCCCAUGAGCCGCUCGUGGGAUUGAACCCCCUGCUCGGCUCGAGCUCGUCAAUUGACAAGCCCAAGCCAUCCACGAGGCGAGUUUUAACGAGCCGCUUGGCUCGUUUGACAUCCCUAGGUACCGUGGUGUCAGUUAUGUCUGCAAUGCUUUUGAGGACAUUGAAGGCGAUAAUUUUAACAAGGGACCUUCUGUUCAGGCAUUUUGUAUGAUUUCUUCUACAGGGUGUGCUUCGACCCUGUUUAAUAAACAUUAAUUCAAUGGUGAAAUUUUGGAAACUCGAGAGUAGGGUUCAAGUGUCGCUUGUGGACGUCGUGUAGAAGACGAUGAUUUAUAUGGAGAGUUUUGGUUAUUGUGUUGAGGAAAUUAGCCAUUUCAUUUUGAUGCAAACAGAUUUAUUUCUCAGGUGGAGAAAUUUUGUGGAGCUCUACUCGUUGCACCGGAAUUUAAGUUAAGGUGGAGAUUGUUAGGUUUUGUGACUCAAAUAUGAUUAGGAAUCUUGUGAGAUUGCCUAUUUGAUUUUUAUUUUGAAAGGAAAAUUGUAUCCAUGUUGAAUAAGGAAAUCCUCUCUCGAUCGAAAUUCUAUGCACAAUUGUAACCAAAUUUAAACAGAUUUUCUUAUCUUUUAGGACUCUUCAAUGGUUUGAAACGUGGUCUAUGAAUACAAGACUUCUCAAUUAGUUUUAUUUAA